UACGUAGGGGGCAAGCGUUGUCCGGAUUUAUUGGGCGUAAAGAGCGUGUAGGCGGCCAGGUAGGUCCGUUGUGAAAACUCGAGGCUCAACCUCGAGACGCCGAUGGAAACCAUCUGGCUAGAGUCCGGAAGAGGAGAGUGGAAUUCCCGGUGUAGCGGUGAAAUGCGCAGAUAUCGGGAAGAACACCCGUGGCUAAGGCGGCUCUCUGGGCCAGUACUGACACUGAGGAGCGAAAGCGUGGGUAGCAAACAGG
rnacentral:rRNA from 1 species